GCUGCAGGGAGAUCUGGGAAACAUGAGGAUGGAAAAAAUGAACCAAUGAGCAGACAGGCUCUCCAAAGCAAGAGUGGACGGUUAUCACAACUCUGCAGAGACAGCCACCCAUGCAGCCCCAGGCCCCACACUGCGCUCUCUCAGCCAUUACAGAUCACUCGGCUAGUGGCCAGGCGCUGAAGAGCUGAAUCCCAGGAUGGUAAGGCCACCUCAGGACACCAACAUCACGAUAGCCACCAUACCAUCUAGGACACCAAAAUCUAGGCACAUAGCUGGACCCAGAAGCCUGGUGUCAUCGUGUGGUGGCUCUGGUUCAUGAGCUGGACAGAAUCUCUCUGUGGGAGCCAGCUUUGCUGAGCCUCAGAGGACAAGAAGAAGAGCUGGUGCCAAGGAAAGAAAGCUAGGCUGGAGUCCUGGAACCGCACCCAGGCCUCUGUUUACUCCUUGAGUGACACCAGUCCUCAGGUGUUACCUGUGGGGCAGCAAGAUGGCGUCCAGUCUGUGACCACUGGAUGGAGUUCUAGAAGUCCAUGCCUGGCUUCCAAAGCCAACCUCAGUGCUCAGCUUUCUCCAUAUCUGGGACUGGAUUGGUUUCCAUGGUUCCCUGGUGACAGUGGGGCCUCCAGGAAGCACAGAGCCCCAGAGUCACAGCAUUCCUGUGAUCCAGGGUCCAGAGACCUGCCCGUGACAGUGAAGCAUUAAAUCAUCAGCCCUAGCAACAUUAACAAGCUCCUGGCUGGACUGUGAUGUUUGGUAAAGGGAUCAUUAGCUGCUGGCAAACACCAUGUGCUAAGGAAGGGCCUCGGGCUCUGACAAAUGAUAAAUGAGAAAAUUAAAGGCUUGGAGAAAAUGUAAAUACCAUCCUUUGUAAGUCUGAGAAGAUGUUUCCUCAGAGCGCUGAGCCAUUUCUUCUAUUCUCUCCUCCAGCGGGAAGACACUGUGGCUGUCUUACAUGUGUUUGAAUAUCUUGAUUUGUCUCCUACCUCCCAGCAACGGUGGGAUAACAGGCUUUCGUGUCUGUUCGUUUCUACUAAUCCCUUGCUUCCCCGCCCUUGUUUCUGCAUCACCCUGGAAGGAAGGCGUUCAGCAUUUUCUUCUUCCUUGACCCUCGUGAAAUUUUAAACUGCAGAGGUACUGUACAAUCGUAGCACUCUGUAGUUAUCCCUGCGUGUUUUCAUAAAGCUAAAUCUUGCUCUGCCGCA